rnacentral:rRNA from 3 species
UUAAGCGACUAAGCGUACACGGUGGAUGCCCUGGCAGUCAGAGGCGAUGAAGGACGUGCUAAUCUGCGAAAAGCGUCGGUAAGGUGAUAUGAACCGUUAUAACCGGCGAUGUCCGAAUGGGGAAACCCAGUGCAAUUCGUUGCACUAUCGUUAACUGAAUACAUAGGUUAACGAGGCGAACCGGGGGAACUGAAACAUCUAAGUACCCCGAGGAAAAGAAAUCAACCGAGAUUCCCCCAGUAGCGGCGAGCGAACGGGGAGCAGCCCAGAGUCUGAAUCAGCUUGUGUGUUAGUGGAACGGUCUGGAAAGUCCGACGGUACAGGGUGAUAGUCCCGUACACCAAAAUGCACAGGCUGUGAACUCGAAGAGUAGGGCGGGACACGUGGUAUCCUGUCUGAAUAUGGGGGGACCAUCCUCCAAGGCUAAAUACUCCUGACUGACCGAUAGUGAACCAGUACCGUGAGGGAAAGGCGAAAAGAACCCCGGCGAGGGGAGUGAAAAAGAACCUGAAACCGUGUACGUACAAGCAGUGGGAGCACCUUCGGGUGUGACUGCGUACCUUUUGUAUAAUGGGUCAGCGACUUAUAUUCUGUAGCAAGGUUAACCGUAUAGGGGAGCCGCAGGGAAACCGAGUCUUAACUGGGCGUUAAGUUGCAGGGUAUAGACCCGAAACCCGGUGAUCUAGCCAUGGGCAGGUUGAAGGUUGGGUAACACUAACUGGAGGACCGAACCGACUAAUGUUGAAAAAUUAGCGGAUGACUUGUGGCUGGGGGUGAAAGGCCAAUCAAACCGGGAGAUAGCUGGUUCUCCCCGAAAGCUAUUUAGGUAGCGCCUCGUGAAUUCAUCUUCGGGGGUAGAGCACUGUUUCGGCUAGGGGGUCAUCCCGACUUACCAACCCGAUGCAAACUACGAAUACCGAAGAAUGUUAUCACGGGAGACACACGGCGGGUGCUAACGUCCGUCGUGAAGAGGGAAACAACCCAGACCGCCAGCUAAGGUCCCAAAGUCAUGGUUAAGUGGGAAACGAUGUGGGAAGGCACAGACAGCCAGGAUGUUGGCUUAGAAGCAGCCAUCAUUUAAAGAAAGCGUAAUAGCUCACUGGUCGAGUCGGCCUGCGCGGAAGAUGUAACGGGGCUAAACCAUGCACCGAAGCUGCGGCAGCGACACUAUGUGUUGUUGGGUAGGGGAGCGUUCUGUAAGCCUGCGAAGGUGACCUGUGAGGGUUGCUGGAGGUAUCAGAAGUGCGAAUGCUGACAUAAGUAACGAUAAAGCGGGUGAAAAGCCCGCUCGCCGGAAGACCAAGGGUUCCUGUCCAACGUUAAUCGGGGCAGGGUGAGUCGACCCCUAAGGCGAGGCCGAAAGGCGUAGUCGAUGGGAAACAGGUUAAUAUUCCUGUACUUGGUGUUACUGCGAAGGGGGGACGGAGAAGGCUAUGUUAGCCGGGCGACGGUUGUCCCGGUUUAAGCAUGUAGGCUGGUUGUCCAGGCAAAUCCGGAUAAUCAAGGCUGAGGUGUGAUGACGAGGCACUACGGUGCUGAAGUAACAAAUGCCCUGCUUCCAGGAAAAGCCUCUAAGCAUCAGGUAACAUCAAAUCGUACCCCAAACCGACACAGGUGGUCAGGUAGAGAAUACCAAGGCGCUUGAGAGAACUCGGGUGAAGGAACUAGGCAAAAUGGUGCCGUAACUUCGGGAGAAGGCACGCUGGUGUGUAGGUGAAGCCCCUGCGGGUGGAGCUGAGACCAGUCGAAGAUACCAGCUGGCUGCAACUGUUUAUUAAAAACACAGCACUGUGCAAACACGAAAGUGGACGUAUACGGUGUGACGCCUGCCCGGUGCCGGAAGGUUAAUUGAUGGGGUUAUCCGUAAGGAGAAGCUCUUGAUCGAAGCCCCGGUAAACGGCGGCCGUAACUAUAACGGUCCUAAGGUAGCGAAAUUCCUUGUCGGGUAAGUUCCGACCUGCACGAAUGGCGUAAUGAUGGCCAGGCUGUCUCCACCCGAGACUCAGUGAAAUUGAACUCGCUGUGAAGAUGCAGUGUACCCGCGGCAAGACGGAAAGACCCCGUGAACCUUUACUAUAGCUUGACACUGAACAUUGAGCCUUGAUGUGUAGGAUAGGUGGGAGGCUUUGAAGCGUGGACGCCAGUCUGCGUGGAGCCAACCUUGAAAUACCACCCUUUAAUGUUUGAUGUUCUAACGUUGGCCCCUGACCGGGGUUGCGGACAGUGUCUGGUGGGUAGUUUGACUGGGGCGGUCUCCUCCCAAAGCGUAACGGAGGAGCACGAAGGUUAGCUAAUCCUGGUCGGACAUCAGGAGGUUAGUGCAAUGGCAUAAGCUAGCUUGACUGCGAGCGUGACGGCGCGAGCAGGUGCGAAAGCAGGUCAUAGUGAUCCGGUGGUUCUGAAUGGAAGGGCCAUCGCUCAACGGAUAAAAGGUACUCCGGGGAUAACAGGCUGAUACCGCCCAAGAGUUCAUAUCGACGGCGGUGUUUGGCACCUCGAUGUCGGCUCAUCACAUCCUGGGGCUGAAGUAGGUCCCAAGGGUAUGGCUGUUCGCCAUUUAAAGUGGUACGCGAGCUGGGUUUAGAACGUCGUGAGACAGUUCGGUCCCUAUCUGCCGUGGGCGCUGGAGAAUUGAGGGGGGCUGCUCCUAGUACGAGAGGACCGGAGUGGACGCAUCACUGGUGUUCGGGUUGUCAUGCCAAUGGCACUGCCCGGUAGCUAAAUGCGGAAGAGAUAAGUGCUGAAAGCAUCUAAGCACGAAACUUGCCCCGAGAUGAGUUCUCCCUGAGACUUUAAGUCUCCUGAAGGAACGUUGAAGACGACGACGUUGAUAGGCCGGGUGUGUAAGCGCAGCGAUGCGUUGAGCUAACCGGUACUAAUGAACCGUGAGGCUUAACCUU